rnacentral:rRNA from 1 species
UACAGAGGGUGCGAGCGUUAAUCGGAAUUACUGGGCGUAAAGCGCGCGUAGGCGGCUUUGCAAGUCGGGUGUGAAAUCCCCAGGCUUAACCUGGGAACUGCAUUCGAGACUGCAUUGCUAGAGUAUGGGAGAGGGAAGUGGAAUUUCCGGUGUAGCGGUGAAAUGCGUAGAUAUCGGAAGGAACAUCAGUGGCGAAAGCGACUUCCUGGACCAAUACUGACGCUCAUGCGCGAAAGCGUGGGGAGCAAACAGG